rnacentral:rRNA from 1 species
AGUCUGCAACUCGACUGCAUGAAGCUGGAAUCGCUAGUAAUCNCGGAUCAGAAUGCCGCGGUGAAUACGUUCCCGGGUCUUGUACACACCGCCCGUCACACCAUGGGAGCCGGAAAUGCCCGAAGUCAGUGGCUUAACCGAAGGGAGAGCUGCCGAAGGCAGGUCUGGUAACUGGGGUGAAGUCGUAACAAGGUAUC